rnacentral:lncRNA from 1 species
GCCUGAGGUUGUGCUCUGAAGCUGCCCAUGGACUCUAGUACUCACCAGGUGAUUCUCCCCUUCCCAUGCCUCCAUGUAUCACCUGCAGGAGACAAUGAAUGAUGCACUUUUAUGACUUCCCAAUAUCAAGGAAUCGCCUCCAUUGAGACAUUCUAUAGGAAAUCAAUAAACACCCAUAUUCUGAUCCUGAAAUUCUAAGAAUAUUACCUUACAUCAACAAAGGGAGGUGGGAUUAUGUUAAAGAUUCACGACAUGGAGAUUUUCCUGAAUAUUCUGCAGGAGAGCAAUAUAAUCACUAGGGCCCUUAGAGUGGGAAGGAGGGACAGUCACAGUCAGGGGAUGGGUCAACGUUGAGAGAUCUUGAGAGACAGAGGGAGGAGCCAGGAGAAGAAAGUGAGAGAACCUAGGAGCUGGAAAGCCUGGAGCUGAAUUCUGUCCUCAGGAGCCUGCAGAAGUCACCCAGCCCUCCUGCCCUGGUUUCAGCUCAGUGGGAAUCUGAGCUCCAGGACCCUGAGAUAACCAGCCUGGGCUGCUCUAAGCCCAGGAGGUGAUGGUGGUCUUUGGAGGCAGCAGGAGGGACUGAUGCAAGGGAAGGGACAGAGACACCCUGGCAGUGGCCAUCCACUGCCCCACUAAACAUUGUCACAUUCCUGUUAUUUGGUUUCUACAUUGACAUGAGGCAGAAAACCUUUAUUCUAAGAAUGGAUCUUUCCAGAGCUAUUCUGAGGUAGAAAUACAUAGAUAAAUCUCCCUCAUGUGGGGUCUGUUCACAGCACCUGAGGAGAGAGGAGGGUUUUGCUUGCUCUGUGCUCAUUGGUCUCCAUGUCAGAGGUACAGAUUAGAUUCACAGGGGAGAGCUAAAGGGGAGGAAUUAGUCACAAAUGGGGGCAGAGCGCAGGAGGGAGGAUCAGGGCAGUGCAAGGCACAUCCCUGCCCACAUCUGAAAUGAAGGCAAGUAGGGCAGGGAGGGCUACAGGGCUGUGUUUUGCAGAAGAACCUGCAGAGGCCUGAGUUUCAGGUGAGGUCAGCAGGGAGUGGGCAGAGGCAGCAGGAGCUGAGGUUCCCUGCCUUCAGUUUGGAUCCUCUCCUCCCACCGCAUAGGCCAUGCUGCACCUUUGGGAAGACUGUCGCCAUGUGGAAGAAAUGCAUCUAAAUUCAGACAGACCUGGCUUCAGAGCCAGCCACAGCCCUCACAGUCCACGUGUCAUUGUGGACCCCAUUGUGCUGGGAUGACUGGUUGCCUCCUCUGUGGAAAGCCACAGCAAAAAUAUCAGAGGGGUCCUGGGAUAAACCAAAUGACUCACCUGAAAUAUGAUGCUGUAAACACACAGUCACAGAGUCGGUGUUAAGUCCCUCUGAAUAUCUCAAAAUGGGGACACUGUGUGAUGUCCCAGUAGUGAGAUAUCUUCUUCAACUGGCAACCCCCACUGUUCAUCUACAGAAAGCAGGAGCCUCUCUGCACUGUGGGGUUCCAUGUGCUGUAUUUCCUACUAGAGGAACUUCCAGUGUCCAUUCCUGUAGAGCACUAGGAUGUUGAUGAGGACUCCAACAGCCAUAGCCUGGUAUUCCCUGGGCCCCAUGUUGUGAGUUCCCAACACGUGCUGUAAACACUAAGCAGAGAUUGCAGGUCACAGCAACAUUAGUACCAUGCCCCACAGUGCUGCAGGCCAGAGUCCCAGUGGCCAAUACCAGGUAUAGAGGUGACAGGGGACAGUCUGGUCCUCUAUCUCCAGCUCUGGUGGCUGCACCCCAUGAAUUUGUCUCACCCUUUAUCACCCUUGACUUUCAUCCUUCCAUCUAUGUAAAGUGUCUCUUUACAUUUUUACCUGAUUUUUAUGAGGCCAUUGGGCCUGCAUUUUGGGCAUGCCUGGUAAACAUAGGGUAAUCUCUAAUAUUCAAAUAGCCAUAGUUUCCAUUUGCAAAGGCACUUUUCCCAUAUAAGGUGUUUAUAAAGACUUCACGGAGUAGGACCUAAUACCAUGGCAACCACACUCAAUCACAACCCACUCAAAACCAACACCGAUGUGCAUACAUAGCCUCCACCCCUCCCUCCCCCUGGAUUUCCCUACUCCACCCCUGCCCUCAGCAUGAAAGUCCCUUCCCUUCCUAGUGUAUCCACCCCUCUGUGCACACUCAGGCUCAAACAGGAGGACCUUGCUUGGGAUUGACUUAACGACCUCCUCUGUCACAAUCAUCAUGCAGAAGGAAGUACAGAUCUGAAGUGGCUCUUACCCAUCUGAGGAUCAGCUGUCUCUCUGGAGGCCAGUUUUUGUCUCUACAGACACAUGGAACUUCCAUUGACAUGUGGCCCCCAGGCCUCAGAGAGGGUUUCAAUGGCCCUGGCUCAAACAGUUUCCACCUGUGCUUUGCAUCCUAACCCUUCAGCUCACUGUGGACAAUAGACUGGGUGAGGGUUGAAGGACGUGAGUAAAUUUCCCAAACUAUGGUAGUGUCUCCCUUGGUCAAGUUAAUGGGUUGUUUUUGAGCACUUUAAGAAUGUAUUUUUCUGGGCAUAUCCUAGUUUAAGGGUUGGAGGUCAUUCCUGAAUUAUGAGUACCAUGGUCACUUUGGCUAAAGAAAACAUCCUUUCACAGAAGCUUCCUUGCACACAUCCAUGGUUUCCAGGUCAGUGGCAGUGGGUCUUGGGCCAAGUCAUGACUCCCAACCCCAGUGAGGAGCCUGGGGCUGCUGCACAGAACUUCUGUGGGGGGACACUCAGUGGGUCCUGACAUUGUAGAGCAGGCCUAACAGCAACACUCACAUAGGGUCAGCCCUCUGCUCACUGGAACUGUAACCUCCAUUAUAGGUAUUGCUCUGAGUAAACAGAAAGAAAAAUGUGACAGCUAUUCAUAAUGUCCCCAACAAACUUUAUCAAUGACCAAGAACCCAGAGAUACUGAGAGUCAUCAUGGCUAGUGAGAGUGGCCCAUGUUCCUCUGCAUCCCUCAACUGGAUCCUAGAGGAUCAAUACCUAUGAAGGAGAGCCCCUGUUCCCAUCUCUGAGAGCUGACCUAGAGGCUGUUCCUCACAGGUCCUAGAAUAUUGCCUUUUAGAUGCUCCAGACAGCCUGGGUCCCCAAAUGAUGCAACUUGUGACCCAAAGAAAAUGGCUUGUUGCUCUAACAAGACACCUGCUCUUGUCUCACCCCAUGACAACUGGGGCUGGCCAGACAUUACCUGGUGAACCUCAAGCACUUCCCACGGGACUCUGUGACCUCUUCUGUUGAAUUUCCUCUCUGUGUGAGAUGCUCUGUGGAGAAGGGUUCUGUGGCUGUUCUAUUGUAGGGGUGUAGGUCAUUUUGGGAGUGAUUUCCAUCCCUUAAUGAUAGGAUUCUAUACCAUCACAACAAAUAAUGCAUGUGAAGUUGUGAUCACUGUCAGAUAGAGAAUGCAAGGAAUGGCCUGGUGCAGAAGGACACAGGAAUUUGUCCCCACUGAGGGGAUUGCUAUUUACCAGGUCUGAAGAUGUCACUAGUAACAAGAAAGAAGGAGUGCAUGAGCCUGGAAUGUAACUGCUGCCUAGGGAUUUAAGUACACUCCCUGGUGUGGGUCAGGCAGGGUCUCUGUCUGCUCAGUCCAAACUAACUGUGUCCCCAGAGGCAGAGGGGUCAUCAUCCCGGGUCUUACUCAGAGCAGGGAACAGUCAGUGCUCAGCUACCAGGUAGGUCAUUUUCCUUGUCACUGAAGAUCAGAGCUGAGAGACCCCAACUAGUCUUCCAGCAAGUCAGGCUGACCUGAGUACACUGGUGUGGUUAGGUGAGUGAGGUGACACUGGACUAGGCAGGAAAUGGAAAUACCUAUUCUAAAAUAUUUUUGAAUGAUAAAAAGUAAAAAAGAAUAUAGUGAGAGUCAUUUAUUGAAGGAAUCAAAUAUAAUCAUGGCCUUCAGAGAAUUCAAAGAUAUUUUAAUUUGUGAAAAAUGGACAUUUUUUUAGAUACAGAAUAAAAAUGAAUAGACUUAUUGUUAUAUACAUGUUUUUGUUUAUGUUGAUAUAUGAAUAUAUGUAUUUUUUCUUUUUCUUCUGGUUUUUGUUUUUGUGGUUUGUGGGAAAUUGAAACCAGAACCUCUUACAUGCUAUGCAAAUGUUCUAUCACUGAUCUACAUCUGAACCUAUAUCUAGAUACAUUUUCAAAGAUAUUUUAAAAUUCUAGAAUAUUCUGUUGCUACCCAGUGAUCAUAACUUGGGUGGGUCUCUAAAGUGAGAAGAUCAUCAUCAACUCUAAGGACAACAAAGGAGCUUGUGACUAAUCACACUGUCCCAGUGUACACAGCAGGCAGGACUGGAUCUAGGGAUCCUGUCAAUCAGCCUCCUGCUCUGCAGCCCAACUCAGUUCUGAGAAGAGGGUCAGAUGUCCAUUCACCGCCUACACUCCAAACAGUGGGGAGGCUAGGGAUAUGCUUUCUGCUCUCUGUGAAGCCACCCCAAUUCCCACAGAGUCACAGUCCCAAACACAAAUCCAGACCCUCUGUUGGAAGGCAGAUGUCCUGAUGUUACUGUGCAACUCCUCAUGCAAUUUACCUUCUCAAGCUCAUUCCAGGAGACACAAACUUCUGACUCCCCUCAGAAUUCAUCUCCAGGGUCUGGGAAUAUCUUUAGCACUGGUGCAAAUUUUACUUUUUAUGGGAUGUAGACAAAAGAAUGUAUUCUGUUUUUUGCCUCAUUUUUGAUGAUAACUGUAGGCCUGAGACACUAUCUAUCCGAUCUUAACCUAUGCAUGAAUUUUUUGUGACUGUGAUCUAUUUCAGUGACCCAGGGUGCCAUGAAAGAUCAAUAAUUCUGGUUUAUAAUAGAAUCCUUUUUUUUUUUUUUUUUUGCAGUGUAAGAGAAUUUGAGAAAAACACUCCUUGGACAACCAACUAGUGGCAUCAUUUGUGUGUCAUGUCCCUUGGCUUCUGUCAUGAUGUUACUUUUUUUUCCCUGGAUCUUCAUUAUUCCCCAGCUUGAAAAAUCUUGUAGGAUGGCACUCUGCACCCUCCACCCAAGCUGUCACAUUAGCAAUCUGGAACCUGGAUCGGCCCAGGAGCUGUGUCUCCAACAGGGGCCAAGCGAGAGAGAAGCAGCUGUGAUAAUUAAACUUCCAUAUAACUUUUAAACGUAAAGUCAAAAUUUAAUGUAAAAUAAUAAAUGUUUUCUCCAUGUUGCUCAAUUUACUACAAAAUUUCAAGAAGGACUAGAAAGUUUGUUUUCAUUUUUAUGCUCAUAACUAAUCCCUCUUGGGAAAUUGACAUAAAACAUAUUAAUGGGUCCAGGAAAAUCAGAGCCUCUUUGUCUUUGAAAACCAGAGUAAUUUUCCUAAUAGAAAUGAUGCCAAUGAGAAUAUUUAA